rnacentral:lncRNA from 1 species
AAAGUUUAUGAACUAAGUACACUAAUCAUAUAUAAAAACUUCAGAAAGAAAUACAGUUUAUGCGAUAUCAAACCCCAAUUAGUUUCGAAGUGAAUAAAUCCCUAAAUCUAUAAAGAGUAGUUUUGAAUGAAAUGCACCUGCACCCAUGAGUUCAUCUAGCAAAGCUCUUUGAGCGUCCAUGGCUAAUAUUGCAGUGGUGUGAAAGAGUAGAAAAACCCUAAUUUAGAUCGAUGCGAAUCGAUGUGGUGGUGUACAGUGUUAUGGUAUUCAGGAAGGUCGGUCUGGUUUGUUUGUUAUCCAACUCCCCGCCCCGGAUACCACUAUAUAGUCUAUAUCUAUAAAAAUAAAUAUUUUCUCAGCCGUGUACAGUCGGAUAUAACCACGGUUUUCU